AAUUCUCAACCUUUUCAACCUUUUUUGGUGGAUCAGGAAUUGGAUGUGGGAGCUUGCAGGCUUGUUCAGAAGUCGGCUCUCCUUAAAUGUAUUAGUGGGACCUUUGUUAAGCCUAGCUUUGGUGUGAUAAUUAUCUAUGCCAUUUGCUCAAGCAGUAUACAAUGAGGUCUUGCUUCUAAUUGUCUCUCUUAGAGACACCUUCUGAUA
rnacentral:misc_RNA from 1 species